rnacentral:lncRNA from 1 species
AACACAGAACAGAAGUAUUAAGCAUAAAAUGUUGAGAGUUCGGCUGGGAUACUAUCGAUAACAUGAAACAUUUGGUGCUAUUAAGUUUUCUGCCGUUAGAUUUAUCUUUUUUAUCAUUUUCAUCCGUUCGAUUAUACUAUUUAACCAACCACACACUCAACCCUAGAGAGUCCACAUCAUCCUAACCGCACAUCUUUUAAUCCAAGGGCAGAAAAUUUAAUAGUACCAAGUCAUUAAUGCUAUUAAUAGUAUUCCAGCUUAGUUCAAAUGUUGAAGUAUCAUACUAAUUAAGCUUAAGUAUUACGACGAGCGCACAAACAAGAACGAGAGAUGACGAUCGUGAAGUAGACAAACCACAUAACAGUAUAAAAAGAACACAAAAAUUUACAUGAAAAAUUCUUUGCAGAGAAAAAACCACAGGCGAUGGUGGAAAAAACUUCAUAAUAAGGAAAUACAGUACGCUAUAUCGUGUCUAGGGCAAAAAUAAAAAGAAAAUUUCUUAACGGAUUUCUUUAUUAUCGGCCCGAGUUCUCUGCUACCUAUUACAGACAUCUAUUUUUUUCUUCUUAAAUUCUUUUUCAAAUUUGUCCUACCAUGAAACUAUCGACG